UACGGAGGGGGCUAGCGUUGUUCGGAAUUACUGGGCGUAAAGCGCACGUAGGCGACUUUGCAAGUUAGAGGUGAAAGCCCGGGGCUCAACUCCGGAAUUGCCUUUAAAACUGCAUCGCUAGAAUUGUGGAGAGGUAAGUGGAAUUCCGAGUGUAGAGGUGAAAUUCGUAGAUAUUCGGAAGAACACCAGUGGCGAAGGCGGCUCACUGGCCCGGUACUGACGCUGAUGUGCGAAAGCGUGGGGGAGCAAACAGG
rnacentral:rRNA from 1 species